UGCAGAAAAUACUUGCUCGCACCCACUGCACCAGUUGAUAGGGCCCAGAAGAGGAUACCAAUUGCAAGAACCGUGGGUCGGUCAUAAUUUAAAACUAAAAUACCUGCCACUGGAGAAGCAAUUCCCUGCACAAAGUUCCUAAUGAAUGUGAGAAACCCAAGAUCAGAUGGUCCUGCUGUAAAAGCUUCACUGACUUCUUUAUAAACAGCUGGAAGGAGAUUCUCAUCAGCGCGCUCCAUUAUAGCGGCCAUGUUGAUGAUGAUUAGGGAAAUAGAGAUCCCAAAAAUUGUCCUUGUUCUCAUGGUGGAAAGGUGGCUGGGAAGCAGAGAUUUAGGUCGAAAAACAGAAGAAGGUAAUCUUGAAGCUCUAGCGCUUAACCCCAUCAAUCCCAAAGGAAUAAAGGUCAACCUUUUGCUGGCCCUUCUCCUUCUGGGGCACUAACUCGCCAUUCAUUCAACGUGGCUCUGUUUAUUUGCUGCAAGAUUCCAUUUUUAGACAACCCCAGAUGAAGAUUUGAGAUCUACUUACCAUACAAUAUACGUACAAUCAUCAAACGUAAAGAAUAUGUGAUAAGAUUCAGUACAAUUUAUGUUAUUAUGA
rnacentral:misc_RNA from 1 species